rnacentral:rRNA from 1 species
GGUUAAGCGACUAAGCGUACACGGUGGAUGCCCUGGCAGUCAGAGGCGAUGAAGGACGUGCUAAUCUGCGAUAAGCGUCGGUAAGGUGAUAUGAACCGUUAUAACCGGCGAUGUCCGAAUGGGGAAACCCAGUGUGUUUCGACACACUAUCAUUAACUGAAUCCAUAGGUUAAUGAGGCGAACCGGGGGAACUGAAACAUCUAAGUACCCCGAGGAAAAGAAAUCAACCGAGAUUCCCCCAGUAGCGGCGAGCGAACGGGGAGCAGCCCAGAGCCUGAAUCAGUGUGUGUGUUAGUGGAAGCGUCUGGAAAGGCGCGCGAUACAGGGUGACAGCCCCGUACACAAAAAUGCACAUACUGUGAGCUCGAUGAGUAGGGCGGGACACGUGGUAUCCUGUCUGAAUAUGGGGGGACCAUCCUCCAAGGCUAAAUACUCCUGACUGACCGAUAGUGAACCAGUACCGUGAGGGAAAGGCGAAAAGAACCCCGGCGAGGGGAGUGAAAAAGAACCUGAAACCGUGUACGUACAAGCAGUGGGAGCCCUGAUUUAUCAGGGUGACUGCGUACCUUUUGUAUAAUGGGUCAGCGACUUAUAUUCUGUAGCAAGGUUAACCGAAUAGGGGAGCCGGAGGGAAACCGAGUCUUAACUGGGCGUUAAGUUGCAGGGUAUAGACCCGAAACCCGGUGAUCUAGCCAUGGGCAGGUUGAAGGUUGGGUAACACUAACUGGAGGACCGAACCGACUAAUGUUGAAAAAUUAGCGGAUGACUUGUGGCUGGGGGUGAAAGGCCAAUCAAACCGGGAGAUAGCUGGUUCUCCCCGAAAGCUAUUUAGGUAGCGCCUCGUGAAUUCAUCUCCGGGGGUAGAGCACUGUUUCGGCAAGGGGGUCAUCCCGACUUACCAACCCGAUGCAAACUGCGAAUACCGGAGAAUGUUAUCACGGGAGACACACGGCGGGUGCUAACGUCCGUCGUGAAGAGGGAAACAACCCAGACCGCCAGCUAAGGUCCCAAAGUCAUGGUUAAGUGGGAAACGAUGUGGGAAGGCCCAGACAGCCAGGAUGUUGGCUUAGAAGCAGCCAUCAUUUAAAGAAAGCGUAAUAGCUCACUGGUCGAGUCGGCCUGCGCGGAAGAUGUAACGGGGCUAAACCAUGCACCGAAGCUGCGGCAGCGACACUAUGUGUUGUUGGGUAGGGGAGCGUUCUGUAAGCCUGUGAAGGUGUGCUGUGAGGCAUGCUGGAGGUAUCAGAAGUGCGAAUGCUGACAUAAGUAACGAUAAAGCGGGUGAAAAGCCCGCUCGCCGGAAGACCAAGGGUUCCUGUCCAACGUUAAUCGGGGCAGGGUGAGUCGACCCCUAAGGCGAGGCCGAAAGGCGUAGUCGAUGGGAAACAGGUUAAUAUUCCUGUACUUGGUGUUACUGCGAAGGGGGGACGGAGAAGGCUAUGUUGGCCGGGCGACGGUUGUCCCGGUUUAAGCGUGUAGGCUGGUUUUCCAGGCAAAUCCGGAAAAUCAAGGCUGAGGCGUGAUGACGAGGCACUACGGUGCUGAAGCAACAAAUGCCCUGCUUCCAGGAAAAGCCUCUAAGCAUCAGGUAACAUCAAAUCGUACCCCAAACCGACACAGGUGGUCAGGUAGAGAAUACCAAGGCGCUUGAGAGAACUCGGGUGAAGGAACUAGGCAAAAUGGUGCCGUAACUUCGGGAGAAGGCACGCUGAUAUGUAGGUGAAGUCCCUCGCGGAUGGAGCUGAAAUCAGUCGAAGAUACCAGCUGGCUGCAACUGUUUAUUAAAAACACAGCACUGUGCAAACACGAAAGUGGACGUAUACGGUGUGACGCCUGCCCGGUGCCGGAAGGUUAAUUGAUGGGGUCAGCGCAAGCGAAGCUCUUGAUCGAAGCCCCGGUAAACGGCGGCCGUAACUAUAACGGUCCUAAGGUAGCGAAAUUCCUUGUCGGGUAAGUUCCGACCUGCACGAAUGGCGUAAUGAUGGCCAGGCUGUCUCCACCCGAGACUCAGUGAAAUUGAACUCGCUGUGAAGAUGCAGUGUACCCGCGGCAAGACGGAAAGACCCCGUGAACCUUUACUAUAGCUUGACACUGAACACUGGUCCUUGAUGUGUAGGAUAGGUGGGAGGCUUUGAAGUGUGGACGCCAGUCUGCAUGGAGCCGUCCUUGAAAUACCACCCUUUAAUGGCUGGUGUUCUAACGUUGGCCCCUUACCGGGGUUGCGGACAGUGUCUGGUGGGUAGUUUGACUGGGGCGGUCUCCUCCUAAAGAGUAACGGAGGAGCACGAAGGUUGGCUAAUCCUGGUCGGACAUCAGGAGGUUAGUGCAAUGGCAUAAGCCAGCUUGACUGCGAGCGUGACGGCGCGAGCAGGUGCGAAAGCAGGUCAUAGUGAUCCGGUGGUUCUGAAUGGAAGGGCCAUCGCUCAACGGAUAAAAGGUACUCCGGGGAUAACAGGCUGAUACCGCCCAAGAGUUCAUAUCGACGGCGGUGUUUGGCACCUCGAUGUCGGCUCAUCACAUCCUGGGGCUGAAGUAGGUCCCAAGGGUAUGGCUGUUCGCCAUUUAAAGUGGUACGCGAGCUGGGUUUAGAACGUCGUGAGACAGUUCGGUCCCUAUCUGCCGUGGGCGCUGGAGAACUGAGGGGGGCUGCUCCUAGUACGAGAGGACCGGAGUGGACGCAUCACUGGUGUUCGGGUUGUCAUGCCAAUGGCACUGCCCGGUAGCUAAAUGCGGAAGAGAUAAGUGCUGAAAGCAUCUAAGCACGAAACUUGCCCCGAGAUGAGUUCUCCCUGAGACCUGGAGUCUCCUGAAGGAACGUUGAAGACGACGACGUUGAUAGGCCGGAUGUGUAAGCGCAGCGAUGCGUUGAGCUAACCGGUACUAAUGAACCGUGAGGCUUAACCUU